rnacentral:tRNA from 3 species
UCCUCGGUAGCUCAAUGGCAGAGCAUCCGGCUGUUAACCGGAGGGUUGUAGGUUCGAGUCCUACCCGGGGAGCCA